rnacentral:lncRNA from 1 species
UCUAUGGGGCGCAGUGUGUCUCUAUGGGUCUCUAUGGGGCACAGUGGGUCUCUAUGGGGCACAGUGGGUCUCUAUGGGUCUCUGUGGGGCGCAGUGGGUCUCUGUGGGUCUCUGUGGGGCACAGUGGGUCUCUAUGGGGCUCUAUGGGGCACAGUCUGUCUCUAUGGGGCUCUGUUGGGCACAGUGGGUCUCUGUGGGUCUCUAUGUGGGCUCUAUGGGGCUCUAUGUGGGCUCUAUGGGGCUCUAUGGGACUCUACGUAGGCUCUAUGGGGCUCUAUGGGGUGCUAUGGGUCUCUGUGGGGUGCUGUGGGGCUCUUUGUGGGCUCUGUGGGUCUCUAUGGGGCACUGUGGGUCUCUAUGGGUCUCUGUGGGGCACAGUGGGUCUCUAUGGGGCUCUAUGGGGCACAGUGGGUCUCUAUGGGGCUCUAUGGGGCUCUAUGGGGCACUGUGGAUCUCUAUGGGGCUCUACGGGGCACUGUGGGUCUCUGUGGGGCUCUAUGGGGCGCAGUGGGUCUCUAUGGGUCUCUAUGGGGCACAGUGGGUCUCUAUGGGGCUCUAUGGGUCUCUAUGGGGCACUAUGGGUCUCUAUGGGGCACAGUGGGUCUCUAUGGGGCGCAGUGUGUCUCUAUGGGUCUC